CCAGCAUUUUCAAGUCUACCAGUAUGUAAUAGUUUUUAAAUAAUUUAAAAACUGUUACAUUCUGGUAGACUUGAAAUUGCUGU